rnacentral:rRNA from 1 species
AGGACGAACGCUGGCGGCGUGCUUAACACAUGCAAGUCGAGCGGUAAGGCCCUUUCGGGGGUACACGAGCGGCGAACGGGUGAGUAACACGUGGGUGACCUGCCCUUAGCUCUGGGAUAAGCCUGGGAAACUGGGUCUAAUACCGGAUAUGACCUCGCGAUGCAUGUCGUGGGGUGGAAAGCCUUGUGCGGCUAGGGAUGGGCCCGCGGCCUAUCAGCUUGUUGGUGGGGUGAUGGCCUACCAAGGCGACGACGGGUAGCCGGCCUGAGAGGGCGACCGGCCACACUGGGACUGAGACACGGCCCAGACUCCUACGGGAGGCAGCAGUGGGGGAAUCUUGCGCAAUGGGCGAAAGCCUGACGCAGCGACGCCGCGUGAGGGAUGACGGCCUUCGGGUUGUAACCUCUUUCAGCCCUGACGAAGCGAAAGUGACGGUAGGGCAGAAGAAGCACCGGCCAACUACGCGCCAGCAGCCGCGGUAA